rnacentral:tRNA from 3 species
GAGCCUGUGGUGCAUUUGGGAACUUCUGCUUCCCAAGCAGACAGCGCGGGUUCGAUUCCCGUCAGCCCCUCCA